rnacentral:lncRNA from 1 species
CAAUAAGUCAGUGGGAGAAGUGUGAAGUCUUAUCUUGAUCAGAACAUUCUCAUUGACUGCUUAAGUAAACCACAUCACCAGAUGACUACACCAACCCCACCUAACCCAACACUGCUGUAUGCUGAAAUAAAACACAAGCCAGAAUAAGUGUCUGAACCACAUACUUCCUGGGUGCCUACUGUUCUAAGCACUAUGCUGGCUGCUGGGCGAAUAAAAGCUGGUAAACAAGAGAGGCAUGAUCAUUGGUUUUACAGAUUUUUCAUCUAGAGAGUGAGAAAGUCAUUCAGGAAAUAGUCAUCCAAAUGUGUCAAGUACUGUGAAGGGCAAGUGCUGGGUAUCGUGACAUCAUAAAGUGGAAGGACCUAAUUUAGGUAAAUGGGAUACAGGAUUCCACUGAGAAAACAGAAUCAACAAGAGAGAGUAGACAGAGGCUUUCUGAACUGGAAGUCAACAUGAGGCAGCUACCAUAAAGCCAUGGAGUAACUAUCAAUGGUAGCCUCAUGAGCCUUCUCCAAGAAAUCACAUGUAAGCAAAUCUCCAUCUUAGAGUCACCUGGAAAUCACCUAGAUCCAUGCUACAAGUCAAAGUUUUGUUUUCUCAUGCUCAUAACACAAACAUCAAG